UAUAAUAAUUAAUUUUUUUUCUUUUACCUUCAUUUAUUUUUUUUGUUUUUUACCUAUUAAUUUUUUACUCUUUUAUUCAUUUUUUUAUUCACUUAUUUAUUCAUUUUUUUAUUCACUUGUUUACUCAUUUUUUCAUACGUGUUUUUAUUUAUUAUAUUUUUGUGACACUAAAAAAGAGUUAUUACUGGAAAAAAAAAAAAAAAAAAAAAAAAAAAAAAAUUAUAUACAUAUAUAUAUAUAUGUAUAUUUUUAUAUAUGAACGUAUACAUUCAUAUUACUAAAAAAACUAAACAAAAACAAUAGAUGUAACAUGUAAUAUGAAAAGUAACAAACACUAAGCUAAAAUUACAAAUAACGUUUUUUUAUGUAAAAAUUUUGAAACUGCUUAACGCAAUUAUUGUUUUCUAUCUUCUCUUUUUUUCUUUUUUUUUUUUUUAACCUUACAAAUUUUAAAAAAAUUUAUAAAUAAGGGUAUAAAGUAUUAUUUUAAUAAUGUCAAAAAUAAAAAAUAAUAAAAAAAGAAAGGUUUAGCAUUAUAAAUAAUGCAGAAGUGUACAAGUACAAGCAUGUGUAUGUAUGUUAUAAAUAAAAAUAUAAAUAGCAAAAUAAGGAAGAAACCAAAAUAACUUUAUAAGGGAAAUAUAUACUAGUAAAAUAUAAACACUAACAUAAAAAUUAAUGUCUACUAGGAUGAUAAUGUACACAUAUAUAUAUGUAUACAUACAUAAUGUAAUUAUGAUAUUUGGCACCUGCUGUUAGUAUUUUAUAUGAAUCUACCCCAAUAAGUGUCAAUAUACAUAUAGUUACCUACACAUAUAUGUAUAUGUAUAUGUAUAUACAAGCUUGUGUACAUAUUAUUUUCAUAACUUUUCUAAAAACACAAAAUGAAAGAUAAUAAAGAAAAUAAUAAUUCGGAUGUACUUUUUAAAAACCCAACAUGUGAUUACAAUAAGUCCGAGUUAGAAAAUAAAGAGGAUGAAGAAAAAAAAAAUGAAAAUAUAAUUAUAAGUUCUCAUUUAAGCGAUGUUUCUGUUUCAACUGUUAGUAAUAGUACAGGUAUUGAUUCGGAUUUGUAUAUUAAAGUUGUUAAAGAAAUUAAAAGGGAGAAAAGGAAAAAAAAAAGAGAGAAGCAAAGAGAAAGGGAUAGAGAAAAAGAAAAAAAAAAAAAAAGGCAAAGAGAAAAAGAAGGGGAAGAAGAAAAAAGUGCAAGUGAAAUUAACAAAAAAAGAAAAAAAAAAAAUUAUAGAUCAGAUGAUAGCACAUCUAUGGAAAAAAAAAAAUCAAGAAAAAAAAGAAGCUCAAGGUCAAGUUAUGAUAGUGAAAGAAAGUAUAAAAAAUAUAGCGAUGAGAAACGCAGGAAACAUAAAAUAAAAAAGUCAACAUCAAGAACUUAUAAUGCGUAUGAUGAGAACAUACCAAAGGAUCCAUUUAACCCCCUACUGCUAGCUUAUGAGAAAAAAAAAAAACAUGAUAUAAGAAAAAAUAACUAUGGAAGAGAUGAAUCAAAUAGAAGAUGGACACACGACAAAUAUGAAAGCACGUCGGAUGAAAACGAUGUUGUUAUAGAGAAACAAGCACAUAAUGAUGCAAAUUAUAAAAUAGACCUAAAUAAUGUAAGGAAAAAUUUAUGGAAGUCAAAAGCAGGGGUAAGGGAAAUAUGUAAAUAAGAAAAGCAAAAAUAAAUAGAAAAAAAAAAAUAAAACUUUAUUAACG
rnacentral:lncRNA from 1 species